rnacentral:rRNA from 1 species
GAUGAACGCUGGCGGCGUGCCUAAUACAUGCAAGUCGAGCGAACAGACGAGGAGCUUGCCCCUCUGACGUUAGCGGCGGACGGGUGAGGAAUACGUGGAUAACCUACCUAUAAGACUGGGAUAACUUCGGGAAACCGGAGCUAACACCGGAUAAUAUAUUGAACCGCAUGGUUCAAUAGUGAAAGACGGUUUUGCUGUCACUUAGAGAUGGAUCCGCGCCGCAUUAGCUAGUUGGUAAGGUAACGGCUUACCAAGGCAACGAUGCGUAGCCGACCUGAGAGGGUGAUCGGCCACACUGGAACUGAGACACGGUCCAGACUCCUACGGGAGGCAGCAGUAGGGAAUCUUCCGCAAUGGGCGAAAGCCUGACCGAGCCACGCCGCGUGUGUGAUGAAGGUCUUCGGAUCGUAAAACUCUGUUAUUAGGGAAGAACAACUGUGUAAGUAUCUAUGCACGUCUUGACGGUACCUACUCAGAAAGCCCCGGCUAACUACGUG